UUAUCUCUGUAGAGUCUGCAUAUCAAUAAGCGGAGGAAAAGAAACUAACUAGGAUUCCCUCAGUAACGGCGAGUGAAGCGGGAAGAGCUCAAAUUUGAAAUCUUCAAGGUUCUACCUUGACGAAUUGUAGUUUAAAGAAGUGUUUUCUGUUGGAGUUUUGGUAAAAGUUCUUUGGAAUAGGACAUCAUAGAGGGUGAGAAUCCCGUAUUUGACCAUUACUUCCAGCUUUGUGAUACACUUUCAAAGAGUCGGAUUGUUUGGGAAUGCAGUCCAAAAUGGGUGGUAAAUUUCAUCUAAAGCUAAAUAUUGGCGAGAGACCGAUAGCGAACAAGUACCGUGAGGGAAAGAUGAAAAGAACUUUGAAAAGAGAGUUAAACAGUACGUGAAAUUGUCAAAAGGGAAGCGUUUGACACCAGUGUUGUUUUUCUCGAAAAUCAAUUAAAAAUGCUUGGAUUCUUGUUGUAUGUAAGACCUUAUCAGCUUUACUGUCACUCUUUUUCUAGUCUUUCUUAAUGCACUUUUCGUUUAACAAGUCAACAUCAAUUUCUUUUGUUGUAAAAGGGUCAUUGGAAGGUGGCUUUCUUUUCGGAGAAAGUGUUUAUAGCCUUUUGCCUCUGCAAUCGGAGAGAUUGAGGUCUGCAGCGUAGAUCCUUCGGGGUUAGAUACAUUUGUGCUAAGUUGUAGCUUUUCAUAGACAACUUGUUGACUAUGUUUAGUCAUGCGGCUUACUCGCUUAUGCUAUUUUACCUACGCUUAGGAUGUUGAAGAUGUAGCACAUCAU
rnacentral:rRNA from 1 species